AUUGAACGCUGGCGGCAGGCUUAACACAUGCAAGUCGAACGGUAACAGGAGAAAGCUUGCUUUCUUGCUGACGAGUGGCGGACGGGUGAGUAAUGCUUGGGAAUCUGGCUUAUGGAGGGGGAUAACGACGGGAAACUGUCGCUAAUACCGCGUAGAGUCGAGAGACGAAAGUGCGGGACCGCAAGGCCGCAUGCCAUAGGAUGAGCCCAAGUGGGAUUAGGUAGUUGGUGGGGUAAAGGCCUACCAAGCCGACGAUCUCUAGCUGGUCUGAGAGGAUGACCAGCCACACCGGGACUGAGACACGGCCCGGACUCCUACGGGAGGCAGCAGUGGGGAAUAUUGCGCAAUGGGGGCAACCCUGACGCAGCCAUGCCGCGUGAAUGAAGAAGGCCUUCGGGUUGUAAAGUUCUUUCGGUAUUGAGGAAGGUUGUUGUGUUAAUAGCACGACAAAUUGACGUUAAAUACAGAAGAAGCACCGGCUAACUCCGUGCCAGCAGCCGCGGUAAUACGGAGGGUGCGAGCGUUAAUCGGAAUAACUGGGCGUAAAGGGCACGCAGGCGGACUUUUAAGUGAGGUGUGAAAUCCCCGGGCUUAACCUGGGAAUUGCAUUUCAGACUGGGAGUCUAGAGUACUUUAGGGAGGGGUAGAAUUCCACGUGUAGCGGUGAAAUGCGUAGAGAUGUGAAGGAAUACCGAAGGCGAAGGCAGCCCCUUGGGAAUGUACUGACGCUCAUGUGCGAAAGCGUGGGGAGCAAACAGG
rnacentral:rRNA from 1 species